UGAGGGGCAUCUGGUCAGGAUGCCUCCUGGACGCCUCCCUGGUGAGGAGUUCAGGUCCCACCGGGAGGAGGGGAAAACCGGGACACGCUGGAGGGACGAUGUUCCUCUGCUGGCCUGGAAACGACUUGGGAUUCACAGGGAGGAUCUGGAACAAGAGGCUGGGGAGGGAAGACUGGGCCUCCCUUCUGAAGCUGCUACCCCGACCCAACCCGGAUAAGAGGAAGAAAAGGGAUGGAUGGAUGGAUGGACAGUUCAAUCACACAUAUUCCAAACAGUAUGCUCAAUUAUUUAAAGUAGAUUAAAAAGUAUUUGUAAACACUAAAGUUUAUAUUUCUACCCAUAUUUGGACUCUAUUGAUUUCAAUUCAUUUUAAGUGCAUUUAUUAGCAGUUUAAUCCUUUUCUUAAUCCAAACCACUAACCCUGGAAAAGUAAAGUUUGCUGCAACAUUACCAGGCCUUCGGGCUCACCGGUCUGCAGAAGGUUAGUGAAUGUACUGCUAAAGGUUCUGAACAGGCAACACAAACAAGAAUACACACACACACUCACACACACUUUGUCCAACUGUUAGCUCUGUGCCAGCAGUGAGUCAGAGGCAGCAACCAGGAUCACACAAAGAGUCUGUGUUGAUUUAGAGACAACGCCCUCCUGUGAGCAGCCCAAACACACCUCAGUCUCAGCGGAGACGGACGCGGCGCUGCCGCCGUUGACACAGCAGCUGGAUUCCAAGGCCGGGGAGAAGAGGCAUAGGGUUUCCUGAAACCGCUCAAACAGGAACAGGAAACGGAUGUUUGUUGUCAAGUCCUCUUACAUGUGUGAGGAAAGCUGGCCCCACUUCUCACUUUCAGGUGUGAGAUUUCUGAGGACUGUUCUGCUUUUUCAGCCCGCAGGAUCUCAAUGACUUUCUUUACUUAGUUUUCGCUCCGUCCUUGGUGGAUGUACUGCUGCGUUUUGAGCCAUUGUCGUGUUUCUAGGUCCAGUUCUGCUUCAGCGUUAAUGUUUUUGGGUUAUGGUGGAUUCUGUGAUGGAAAGCUGGUCAGGUCCGGAUCCAACGCUACAUUUCCAAACCCUGGCUCUUCCACCUCCAACCACAGCUGGUCUGAAGUUCUUUACCUGGAAUGCCUCUGUCCUGGUGCCAGAUAAUUCAGAUUUAGACUCAUAACUCCAGAAGUCUUUGUCUGUUUGUGUGUUUCUUGAAGAACAAAGGUUUUCUAGUUUAAAACUUUUUAUGAAGGUCAAACUUGUUGAUUCGUUUUUAAACAGUGGAUACAUUUUUGCAUCCACAGUUGCAAGACGUUGUUGUAGGUCCAUGGUGACAUUAUUGGGUUUCUGGAAACUGUUGUUAGCAUCUUGCAGCCAGCUUUGCUCAUGGAUUUACAUCAACAACAUCUCAACCAACAUUUUCAAUCUGUGAUGAGAUCGUCGUACUUGGUGGGAUGGCGUUUCAAUAUGGCCGCUCCUCACAGCAACAAUAGUAAACUUUGGUGGAUUAAAGUUUAUUUUAUGAUGCACAAGUCUAAAAUCAGUGUUAGAUUUAGCGCCUGCAACACUAAACUGAGCAAAUUAAAACAGGCGUUUGCUGAUAGAAAGCAAAGCUCAGCGAUGUUUGGAAGAGAAAUUGUGGACAAAAUGUCUUUUUGGGCGUCACCAAGUUUAAACAAAUCUUUAUUUUAUCAAUACAUAUCAAGGCAGUUUCGUCCCACUGUGGAUUUGAGUUUAUCACCAACACUGUAGGGCACAGAUGGCAUGUUUUUCAUGUUUUUGGUAUUUUUGCCAAAGUUGUGGCAGAUCUACCGUCAUUCCCUCUGUUUCUGUCUGUCAAGGCGGUCAGAUGGUUGUCUGAACUGGAACAAACCCACGUCGUCUAUUUAUGUUAAGUUUGAGUCAAACCCAGGAGGCAACAAACAGCGACUAUGAAAGAGGCGUCUUAUUCUUGCGUCUGAUGGUUACACACCAGAGGAGGGUUACAGUACAGAACUCAGGGAGCGUAGAGUACAUUGCAUUUCCACAGGAAGUGCAGAAACCCCGCUGGUUUCCUGUUGACUUCUGUGGUGGCGCAGCUGCCAGUAAACAAGUCGUAGACGCACGUAUCUAAUGUCCCUGCAACUGAUUAGCUUUUAAAAUGCAGAACAAAUAGGCGGAAGUUCGGUUCAGUCCUGAUAGUCGGGUUGUUUCUCUGACCUUUAAAUUCCUCCGUGAACUCUUUGUCAGAGAGUUUUUACUGUUCAGAUGGAACCAAUAAUUAUGGAAAGAAAAUAAAAUCUGUGUAUGUGAAGAGAAUCAGUCUGAUGGAGUUCAACAGGGCCGUGUGCUCGGAUCCAUCCUUUUUACUUCUAUAUAGGUUUUUCCUCUGUAAUUUCAAAAUAAAAACAUGAUCUCGAAAAAAAGACCAAACAAAUUAUAGCAUCAAAUGUCCAAAAUGCUGCAUGGAAAGUUUUUACUGUUACAAUUUCAGGUUAGAUUACUUUAAUUUGAGUUUUUCUUCCCUGACAGCUUUCAAGCCAAAAGCAGUAUUUGAAACGCUUCUCCUUCCAUCUAUUUGCUUUACAACUGGUAGAAUUAAACUCGUUUCCUUUUCCAGAACUUCUCUGAAUAUAAUUUUAUGAUAUUAUACUUUAUGAUCAUCCAUUUAAAAUGGAUAUCUGUUACAUGAAUUUAGAAGUCGUUUCAUGUAAAUCGCAGCUGUUUUAUGUAUGUAAACGAUUUCAACAGAGCAAAAUGUGGGGAUUUCUCAAGAUUAAUAUCUGUGUCUUUCAUUUUUGAGUAAAUAUCCGACGUAGAGUUGUGGUUUUGAGGGUUGUGCACUUGAAACUGUUGCUUAGCAGAUUGAGAAAACUUUUCCCCCUCUAAGAUGUAUAAUUGUUUGUAGUUUAAAAGUGAAUCCUUUAUUUCUGGUGUUAUUUUACGUACAGCACGGACUUCCGUCCCAGUUGGGUGCGUAAUAUGUUUAUUAUCAAAGCCUAAAUAGUUUGGAUUCUGGCUGCUGACUGCUGGACUGGAAGGUUUACUGUUUAAACUGGGAAUCGAGGUUUGUUUUUUUCCUUCUCAUAAUCUAUUUUUGUACCAAACUGAAAACAGAGGCUGGUAUCGACUUGAGGCCAAUGUGCUGGGUGUUUGCUCUCCUCUGGAGUCUGGAUAGACACCUAGAGCUAGAGCACAUAGAAAUGGCUAUUAUCAAUGGUCAAGUAAGGCAAAAGAACCAUAACUGCACAAAAGGCUUGUGUAUCCCGGACGGGAUGAUUUAGAGCUUGUAUAUUUUUCAGUAGGUGAAAUGUGGAGACCGUUAUCCGGAGGAAAAUGUCUGGAAUGUCAGCUGAUGUCUGCUGGACUGGCAGGUUUUCAGUACAAACUGGGGUCCCUGCGAUUAUUUUUUCCGUCUGGCAGCAUCUACAGACUAAAUAAUGCCAAUGUUACCACAAUGUGAUUCAAUUUUAUUAAAAAUUAUGAUUUUCGUGUUCUGAAACUGCAAGAAAGGGAGGUUAUAAAGUUUUUUUCCUGUCCUUGAAACCCACAAACGUCUAACUCUGUUUCCUUCCUUUGUUACACUUUUAUCCCCAUUCAAGGCAAAGAGCCACUGGUUUUUCAUACUUCUGUUUUUUAGAAGAAAGUUGAUAUGAUAGAGAAGUAUGUUGUAGUUCAGACUGGUAAUUUUCAGAGAUAAACCUCAGUUGAAGGAUUACCAGCUGAGCUUGUAAACACACUUUCUAAUGAGUGUUUUCUCUCCUGAAGCGUUUUUAUCGAGUUUAUCAGGAUAUUUUUGCUGGUUUGUAACAUUUGCUGUGUUUCUGUUACAAAUGUGCACAAAACGUUUGACAUUAAAAACCUCUCCACAAUUUCACAGUUGAGGUGUCUCCAUUAAAUAAGAAAUGUAAUUAAAAUCACGUGGUAAUUCUUUAAAAGUCAUGGCUGAGACAGACGUAACGACUAACGUGAGAUUUGUUCAAGCAUCAGAAGAGACGCUGGCGUCUUGUUGAAGCAUCGAAACGAGAAGCCGUCUGUUCCUGGCAGUGUUUAAAUGCAGCGUUUUUGGGGAAUUGUUAGUGAUUUUAUAGAAGAGCGAUGGAUUCAACUCUUUUGAAUGACAAACUCAACUAUUGAAUAAUUGUGUGAUGUUGUGGAGACAAACGUUGGGCGUUUCCUGAAGAUCUAGUUUUAUAUUUGAAACCAUAAAACAGGUAAUGGAAAGGCAGUCAGCAGGAUUAACUGGCAGGAGAAAAGCCAGUUUAUUUGUCAUUUGUCACCACUACGGUUAUUAUUUGAUUAAAUAUGUUUUCUCAACGGCUUUCUGCUCCACGUUUGACUAAAUAAAUCACUGCUGCACUUGGAGCCACUCUGGAAAAUAAAAGCUUUGCUUGCUUUGUGUGUGCCUUUAAAAACAACAUCAUUUUUUCCAGGAACUGCAUCUUUUGACUUCUGUUAAACAUUGUAAUUACCAUAACUAACGGUAAUUACAAAGGAUGCAGCCUUUCGUCGAUGAUUCAUAAAUUUGUCCAAUCGUCCAACCUUAGUGGAGACGACUGCGAAUUGUAUAAAGACAGACAAUUACAAAUAAGAGCGUUGCUCUUGCUGUUCACAAACUGGCAUACAAACUCAUAUAACACGAUAAAAAUGUUUCCAUUGCUGUUUUGCGAAAUACACCAACUCCCAAAUGGUUGUAAAAUUACCUCAUCGUAGCGUUUCAUCGGAGAACGUGAGUUUUCUUAAAAUUGGUUUGUUACCAUUAAGCAAAUUUAUUUUCAUAAUUCCAAUUUGCGUGAUUUUAUGCUCAAUAGAAGAAAUGCUAAUGGUGAUUUUCCUUGGUGCUUUUGUACGUUUCAGCUGCUGGUGUGGAUGGCAGCACUGCAACGGAAAACCUGGAGACAAACACAUCCGUUUCUUUACAGAGUUGUGAUAGGAAACAUUAAUCAAACUCUGAUAAACAGUAGCAGCUAAAACCUUUGAAUCGCUGCAGAUCCAUCAUGUCGAAGGCCAGGUGUUUGCUUUAUGACCAGUUCUCCAGCAUAAUUAACUCUUCUUACAUGUAAAACUAACUUAAAGAACCUAAAUACAGCAUAAGUGUAUUCAUGUUAGUUUCUGCAGUGGUGCCAUAAUUUCUCCUUAAAGCAAAUGAUCAGGUGUUCAGAUUAUUCAUCAUAGUUCAGUUUUUGAAUCAAGAGUUUGUAAAUGAGAUGAUAUGUUGGUUUAAACUCUGAUAAACAUCAUAAAAUCUACCAUGCAGGAUAAAACCUUUAACCAACCAACACAGCCGAACAGAUGAACCAAUCGAAGCCCGUUUUGAUGGUUCCUUUGGAUUUUUGAUCCGAUCAAAACGAGUUUCGGAUCCCGGCGCUCCCAGCCCGUCAGACAGCAGGCACAGGGGGAUUCUGGGAAUAAUCCCAACAAUCAGUAAUCUGUGGAUGUGAAUGCAACAAGGAGAGGAAGAGGAGAAAUCUUCAUAGGAUCCGCGUUUGUUUCGUCAUAAUCACCGACGUGAUAAAACGUUGAAAUAGUCGGGUUUCCUGUGGGAUUAGAAAGGAUCGGGUUUGUUGUGUCUAAAGAAGCUAAAUAACUUUAUAAAAAGCCACUUUCACAUCGCGUCUGUUGGCUCUUCAUCACAAAUUAUUGAGGAAAUUUCCAGCUGUGGUCAGAGGCUGCAGUCCUGCAGGCAGCAGGGCUGCUGCUAUUUAUAUCACCACUGAUUACAUUUGGAUUUUAACGCGACUAACAGAUACAGUGGGAUAUCCGAGGGUCAAAGGUGGCGGCAGAUGGUGGCGCAUUUAAAGUUUGGGAUUGUGACUUUGUUAAGAUUAUAGAGAUAAAAACAACUGGCCAAGUGAGGAAGAGGAGGAGGAGGAGGGACCAUCCUGACGGAUUAAAAUCCUCCAGCAGGGGAGUAGAGAUGAAGAUGAAGCUCAUUGUUGAAAACUGAGGAAGAGUCUUUGUUCGUUAGCAGCAGCUGAGACUCGCUCCGUUUGGGAGAGGAUGGUCCGGUUCUGGAGCGGACCGGACCCCUGAUCCCACCGGCACUAAACCCUCCGGAGAGAGGAUCCGUCUGGGAUCCAGACCAGCCGUAAGCAGAGCUUCACUUCAUCAUCAGUUAUGAAUUAUUCCAGCUGAAGAUGUGAAGCAUCAUUUCACCUGGAAGUGAGCUGGAAGAGUUUCAGAGUAAAACGAUCCGAACUGAAGCCAUCCAGUCCAGCUGAUAGCAGUCGGACCAAACAACCACAAAUAUGUGCUGAAAACCUUCAGGUGGGUCCAGUGGGUCAUGAAAACCAGCCAGAAUCUCACGCAGUAGAACCAAACACCUGGAACAGCUGGUCCAGUUCACUGCAAACAGGUUCUCAAUUAAUAUUUACUUUUUAUUUUGGCUCCAUGUUCACAUCCUGAAACGACGGAUUCUCCGCUACGCUGACAGUGUAAAUAAAAACACUUUUAACACCAAAGUUUUUAAAUUGUCUUUGACUGUUAGUGAAGUUCAGAAGGUUUAUAAUCGGAUUAAAAAGUGUUGAAGUGACUCUGCUCAGACUUACAGAGGAAGUAGAAACUAUUUCAGCUGCUAGAAACCCUGACUGGGUUUGUCUCUGCCGUCACGUUCCUGAGCCUUUGAGCCAGGCAGCGGUUCCCUUGGACCCGCCUGCUCAGCACUCAGUCACAACUUACUGCGGCUACGGAGUAUUUCAGUAACCAGAUAAGAAUAAAACAGCUACAUUCUGCAGAUUCAAACACUUACGCCUUUUCUGAAACAGUUUCAGAAAAUUCCUCUUUUAAAUAAGAAAAUAAAGAUUUUAUUGUGUAAAAUGCAGUAACAUCAUUCCUUCAGGGAACAUUUCACAAUUUGUAGCAAAGAAUACAUCUGUAGCUAAAUACUUCUAACAUGUGAAAGUUCAGCUGUUGGUUACUAGUUUUUGGAUUAACUGAUUAAUAAAAGUUGCUUAAUACAUUUUUACUUUUUACUGAAUUUGAACUGAGUGAAGCUAAAACUGCAGGAGUUAAUUUUUUUAUUUUAAAUGCAAAAUGUAAAUAUUUUUUGUUAGUUUUGGUUUAAAGUGUAAUUAACCCCCUGCUGAAAGAUUAGCCCCGCCCCCUGACAAAAUUUAAAUUCCAGCAAAGUGGGCGGAGCCAGUAUACUUUGCCAUGAGGAGUGCUAAUGUCGCGUCAGCAGUGAGUUCUGCUGCGAGCGUUUCCCGGUUCCUAAACUCUGCAGUCAGUCUGAUAGUCACCUGUUCAACACCGUACCUUCAAAAAUAGUCAGAGCAGAAGAGACACUGUCCACUCUGUCCACUCUGUCCACUCUGUCCACAUUGCAAAUCAAUCACACAUUUGUAAAGCUAUUGAUCAAUUCAGCGCAAUACACCCGACUCGCCACCAGGGGCUGUUUGUCUGCGUGAGAUUGUUUUCUACCCAAACAAAUAGGGAAAUUCAGCGGAGGCAAGUAAAGCCUGGCGGGAGGCAAGUAAAGCCUGGCGGGAGGCAAGUAAAGCCUGGUGGGAGGCAAAUACAGCCUGGUGGGGAGGCCAGUAAAGCCUGGCGGGGAGGCCAGUAAAGCCUGGCGGGGAGGCCAGUAAAGCCUGGCGGGGAGGCCAGUAAAGCCUGGCGGGGAGGCCAGUAAAGCCUGGUGGGGAGGCAAAUACAGCCUGGUGGGGAGGCCAGUAAAGCCUGGCGGGGAGGCAAGUAAAGCCCAGGAAACACUGGGAGUUAGUUACACUUAAAUUACGGCUCUGACUUCAUUGUUCUAUUUUGAAGAAAAGCCAUUCUCCUGAAGAUUUAAUUGCUUAUUAUUAAUGAUCGAUUAAUCAUUUGCUCUAGUUCAGACAUUUACAGUCUUAUUCCUCAUUUUAUCCCUGAGGAAAUCUGUUUGCUAUCCAAGGAAAACUUGAUUUUUGUGUUAGUCUACUGUGUAAGAACUUUCUUAAUAGUAUUUCCUUCUUCCUCUCAGCCCCAGAAACCCGCCUGUCUUUGCCUGAAGGACGUUCCAGACUGUCAGGAACAUUCCUGCCCCAUUCCAGAGCCAGGCAACUCCCUGGGAUGUUGCAGCUGCAGCAGCAAGGUAAGAGUGAACCAUCCUCCUGCUGAACCAACCGGUUCCUGAUCGCCUGCAGCAUGUGGAAGGAGAACUCAGCUCUUUGUCUGCAGCCGGUUAAACCUCUGAUCAUGUUUGCUUCCAGAGUUUUCUGUAGAUUCGGCGUCAGAUUCUUUCAAAGGGCGCGACCCAGAGUCUACCCUGUGAGUUUAGCCUUCAAUGAGGCGGAGUUUUGAUUAAAAUUACGUUUUAGUCGUAAACAUCUGGAAAGCUGUUUGUGUUUUAUUGAAACUCUCCAUGUUUACAGCAGCUGAAGCUGCUCUGUAGGUCAACAACAUUUUAUAACUAAAUUACUACACAAGCUGUAAAGAUUUGUGUUCACAACUCUGCAGCUGGAGGCAACAUAAUGCAUGUGUGUGAAUUUAUCUUCCUGUGUAAGAAACUUCCUAAUGAAUCAGUGAGAAUAAUAAUAGUUUUUAGUUUUUAGCUUCAUUUUUACUGUUUAGAGUUCAGUUCAAAUCUGAGUUGCUGCUACAGAGACCAGCAAAUUGAGCUUUAACAUGUUUUUAUGUCGCAGUCAUAAACUUCUGUCUUUUACUGAGAUUUUAUAAGUUCGACCAAAACAAAGUCAUUCAUUCACUACAUGCUUUAGUUUUCAGCUCCUCUGUAGAAACGUUGAACCUUCUUCCACUGCGACUAUUUGUAUAUUUUUACUCCAGAUUUAUAAUCUACAUUGUGUUGAUUUGUGUCAUAAAAUCCCAAUAAAACAUGUUUUCAGUUUA